rnacentral:lncRNA from 1 species
GUGUCUGUGUGUGUCUGUAUGUGUCUGUAUGUGUCUGUAUGUGUGUGCGUGCUCUGCUGUGGCCCCAGGGUCCAUGCCCGGGGGCUGCUGCCCCUCUCCAUGGCUCCCCAGCGCUCUGUCCCGGGGCCAGGCUAUGGCAUCGGCCUCCCGCAGAACUCCGCGCUCACCUCCAACAUCUCCAAGCUCAUCAGCUGGUACAAGUCCUCCGGCUUCAUCGACCUCCUCCAUGACAAGUGGUACAAGAUGGUGCCGUGCGGGAAGCGCGUCCUCGCCGUCACCGAGGUGCGGGGCUCACAGGGGUUGGCUCCGGGGGGGCUCUGACCCCCCCCCAGCUCAACCAACGCCCUUUGUUAUCCCCAUAGACCCUGCAGAUGGGCAUCUACCACUUCUCCGGGCUCUUCGUGCUGCUCUGCAUCGGGCUCAGCACCUCGCUGCUCACCUCGCUGGGCGAACACGUCUUCUACCGCCUCGUCCUGCCCUGCAUCAAGCGCAAGAAGAAGUUCAACUACUGGCUGCACACGAGCCAGGUGCUGCUGCUCCCGCUUCCCGUGCUCAUCCCUCCUCCGGUCCCCAGCUCACGCGGCCUUUAUUCCCCACAGAAAAUCCACCGGGCUCUGAACACGGGCACAGAGGAGCGGGAGAGCCGAAAGCUGAGCUUGGAGCAGAGGUGCGCCCCGCAGCCGAGGCCCUGGAGCAUGCGGCGGGUGCGCUUCCAGCUGGACAGCAAAGCCCCCCCCGAGGGCGAGGAGCCCCCCGGGAACGGGGCCCUGGAGCGGGAGCUGCGGGAGCUGGAGCGGAGCAUCCGGGAGCUGCGGGACCGACUGCGGGCGGCGCUGGCCCGGAGGAGCGAGCUGGUGGCGGCGCUGGGCACAGCCAAGGGCAGCCGGGUGCUGCCUGCGCCCAUGGCCACCGAGGGGCCCCCCGAGAGGUGAUGCAGGCAGGGACCACGGUGGGGAGCCCCAACACACCCCGCAGCAGCCCAAAGGGUGGGGGGGUCUCCUCCCUCGGAGAGGGAGCAAAGGGAUGGGGGAUGGAAGGGAAAGGGCUUUGUGAUAGGAGGAUGGAGAAGGGGGUGUCCUGGGGCUGCCCCCCCCCAUAG